rnacentral:rRNA from 1 species
GACGAACGCUGGCGGCGUGCUUAACACAUGCAAGUCGAACGGAAAGGCCCUGCUUUUGUGGGGUGCUCGAGUGGCGAACGGGUGAGUAACACGUGAGUAACCUGCCCUUGACUUUGGGAUAACUUCAGGAAACUGGGGCUAAUACCGGAUAGGAGCUCCUGCUGCAUGGUGGGGGUUGGAAAGUUUCGGCGGUUGGGGAUGGACUCGCGGCUUAUCAGCUUGUGGGUGGGGUAGUGGCUUACCAAGGCUUUGACGGGUAGCCGGACUGAGAGGGUGACCGGCCACAUUGGGACUGAGAUACGGCCCAGACGCCUACGGGAGGCAGCAGUGGGGAAUAUUGCACAAUGGGCGGAAGCCUGAUGCAGCAACGCCGCGUGCGGGAUGACGGCCUUCGGGUUGUAAACCGCUUUCGCCUGUGACGAAGCGUGAGUGACGGUAAUGGGUAAAGAAGCACCGGCUAACUACGUG